rnacentral:rRNA from 1 species
GAACCUUACCUGGGCUCGAACGGGUAGUCAACGGCGGUGGAAACAUCGCUACCCCGCAAGGGGGUCUAUUCGAGGUGCUGCAUGGCUGUCGUCAGCUCGUGUCGUGAGAUGUUGGGUUAAGUCCCGCAACGAGCGCAACCCUUGUCUCAUGUUGCCAGCGCGUGAUGGCGGGGACUCGUGAGAGACUGCCGGGGUCAACUCGGAGGAAGGUGGGGAUGACGUCAAGUCAUCAUGCCCCUUAUGUCCAGGGCUUCACACAUGCUACAAUGGCCGGUACAAAGGGCUGCGAUGCCGUGAGGUUAAGCGAAUCCUUGGUAAAGCCGGUCUCAGUUCGGAUCGGGGUCUGCAACUCGACCCCGUGAAGUCGGAGUCGCUAGUAAUCGCAGAUCAGCAACGCUGCGGUGAAUACGUUCCCGGGCCUUGUCACACCGA